CCCCUAGAUGUUCUGGGCCGCACGCGCGCUACACUGAACAGUUCAACAAGUCUUAACCUUGGCCGAUAGGUCUGGGUAAUCUUUGAACGCUGUUCGUGAUUGGGAUAGACCUUUGCAAUUAUGGGUCUUCAACGAGGAAUUCCUAGUAAACGCAAGUCAUCAGCUUGCAUUGAUUACGUCCCUGCCCUUUGUACACACCGCCCGUCGCACCUACCGAUUGAAUGGUCCGGUGAAAUCUCGGGACGGCGGCUAGGUCGCUUGCGUCCGACUGCUGAAACUUGAUUAAACCAUAUCAUUUAGAGGAAGGUGAAGUCGUAACA
rnacentral:rRNA from 1 species